rnacentral:rRNA from 1 species
UACGAAGGGGGCUAGCGUUGCUCGGAAUCACUGGGCGUAAAGCGCACGUAGGCGGACUCUUAAGUCAGGGGUGAAAUCCUGGAGCUCAACUCCAGAACUGCCUUUGAUACUGGGAGUCUUGAGUUCGGGAGAGGUGAGUGGAACUGCGAGUGUAGAGGUGAAAUUCGUAGAUAUUCGCAAGAACACCAGUGGCGAAGGUGGCUCACUGGCCCGAUACUGACGCUGAGGUGCGAAAGCGUGGGGAGCAAACAGG